AUUGAACGCUGGCGGCAGGCCUAACACAUGCAAGUCGAACGGUAACAGGAAGAAGCUUGCUUCUUUGCUGACGAGUGGCGGACGGGUGAGUAAUGUCUGGGAAACUGCCUGAUGGAGGGGGAUAACUACUGGAAACGGUAGCUAAUACCGCAUAAUGUCGCAAGACCAAAGAGGGGGACCUUCGGGCCUCUUGCCAUCGGAUGUGCCCAGAUGGGAUUAGCUAGUAGGUGGGGUAACGGCUCACCUAGGCGACGAUCCCUAGCUGGUCUGAGAGGAUGACCAGCCACACUGGAACUGAGACACGGUCCAGACUCCUACGGGAGGCAGCAGUGGGGAAUAUUGCACAAUGGGCGCAAGCCUGAUGCAGCCAUGCCGCGUGUAUGAAGAAGGCCUUCGGGUUGUAAAGUACUUUCAGCGGGGAGGAAGGGAGUAAAGUUAAUACCUUUGCUCAUUGACGUUACCCGCAGAAGAAGCACCGGCUAACUCCGUGCCAGCAGCCGCGGUAAUACGGAGGGUGCAAGCGUUAAUCGGAAUUACUGGGCGUAAAGCGCACGCAGGCGGUUUGUUAAGUCAGAUGUGAAAUCCCCGGGCUCAACCUGGGAACUGCAUCUGAUACUGGCAAGCUUGAGUCUCGUAGAGGGGGGUAGAAUUCCAGGUGUAGCGGUGAAAUGCGUAGAGAUCUGGAGGAAUACCGGUGGCGAAGGCGGCCCCCUGGACGAAGACUGACGCUCAGGUGCGAAAGCGUGGGGAGCAAACAGG
rnacentral:rRNA from 1 species